rnacentral:lncRNA from 1 species
AUGCUGUUAUCUAGAGUAGAGACCCAGCCAGUUCCACUUGAUUCCUCCAUGUCUGCUGUGGUACAGGAUUUGUACUCGGAACUCUCAGUAUGUGUCUCCAAAGAGCUUCAUGCGGAGCAGGAGCCAAGUAAGAUUGCAGAUGUAAAGCCUGGAGCCUCACGCUCUCCUCUAAGUCAUGGCAGGGCCUCACCCCUGGGGUUGCAGAGGACUCAUGCAGAAGGUUGUCGAGAAGAAAGCUCUGAGACCUUGGAUUGUCGGGGCAAGAAUGGGUGGUGCGGACUAGUGGAUCCUACAAGAGAUCCUAUGGCUUAUGAGAUCUUGGAUAGGGAAGAGAGACCCAAGAGCAUGGAGCCAAAGGUCUCCAGAGAUCAAGGAGACCAGACACAAGUUUUCAGAGACCCAGGUGAGAGAGCAAAGGAAGACCGGUGCCAACAUUCCACAGCUACUAAAGAAAAGAUCUGCCCCUGUCAGAAGGCACUUAUAGGAGCUGCAUGCUGACACACACCCGCAGUCCCACCACUCAAGAAGCUGAGGCAGGAUGACUAUAGCUUUGUAUGCAUCUGCUUCAAGUUCAGACUCCAGAGAAGAUCUCCUCCUGAGACAAUCUAGCAAUGGAUCUGUAUGUGCAGACCUCCCUGGAGAUCCACAAAAGAACAGAGGAAAUGUACACAAUACAACUGCAACUCUGCCAGAACUCACAGAAGAGAGACAAGGGAACUGUACUGUUUCCAAAAUGAGCAAAGGGAAAGAAGAGUCAUGUGACUUAUACCCUGUCUGUGAAGAAGAUGACAAUCACCAGCAGAGUCUCAGUGUUUUCUCACUGCAAGGAAAAGCACAAUUCUGCACAUGAUAGCUCCAUCCCUAAAGGAAGCAUAGAUACUAUAAAGCCCUCGGAAGAAAAUUCUAAAAUUUUAUAUCUCAUAUAAUUUUUGUCUGGUCCAAAAUCCUUAGAAAAAUGUGGUUUCGAAUGCAGUGGAUUGAUAAAGGCAUGUGCUGGAAAAACCCAGAAGGUUGAUCAAAUGGAGGACUUCACUUGUGGAGAAGAAAGGGCUGUGGAAUCGAGUAACCACAGCAACUGUCACAAUCAAGUUGGUUGUCCCUGUACAGACAGCUGUACUUCCAGGCUAAAUUCUUCUACUGAAGCCACAGAAAUUAUGCUUUUAAAAAAAUGAUGUGAAAACUACUUUAAACCUUCAUGGUAAUUUGAUAAACUCUGAGGACCAUAGAAAAACUGUUGAUGUGACUCAUCCUGAGAAAUGCUCUGAGGAAAGCAACUUUUCCUUGUUGGUGCAUAUUGGAGAGCCUGAACAAACAACUGUAAAGUCCAGUGCAUUAAAUGGGAAGAUUUACAGUAAAGAUGCUACUAAGUCUGUAGUCAGCAUCCAGAGGAGUCUGGGUGACUCUCUGCCAAGUACAGCAUUGUGCAAUGACUUUCUGUUUGAAAGAAAUCCUCCUCAGAGUUUGAUGUCAGAAGACCCAGGAAGUUCUGAACAUAAUGAAAUAUCAAAACCCGAGAAAUGUACUGUAAAAUUACCAUCAUCUCCAGGAAAACCCGUUCAGACCUCAUGUGACAGCAUCUCACAUUUUGAUGAACCCAUCACCACCUGUGAGAUGAGUGAACAUUCUCCUAACCGCGCCCUGGUUGUACACAAAAUAGAGCAUGAAUGUGUUUCACAUCAACAAGUGUCUCUUAGUUCUCAAGACCAUGUGACAACUGACUCUCUAAGUAUAAACAGAGAAAUGCCUUCAGCAACAUGCAGAGAUGUUCAAGAGAGCCAUCAUUCUCUGGAGAAUGGAGUAAAUGUUACCACUGAUACUCAAACCAUUCCUGCUGAGACAAAAAUUAAGUCAUGUCUCCACAAGGUGACAGAGCCUGUGGUGCCUCUUCAUUCAUACAAACCUUAAACAACAAAACAAGAAGCUCAGAAGGGUAAAAAGAAAUGACUGCUGUACAUUCCACGUUAUUCUCAAGUGUGAGAGGAGCAGCUGCCUCUUCCUUUGUCACAGAGUGUCAAAACGUUCAGUCUCAGGAUAUCUUCAGUUGUCACUGCAUAACACGAGAUGCAUCUGAAAAGAACAUGUGUUCUACUUGUGCUGCCUGUGAACCAAGAACAGAUUCUCUGAAAGUUAGCAACUGUAAAAUCAAAUGUGGAAAUAAAUCUCAGGAUGGUAAUCACUGUUCCCAAAGACUAGAAGGUUUUGUAGAAGAGAGCACCCUCUUGGAGAGUGAACCUGCUGGGAGAGAAAUGCAAAGCAGCUUUCUAGGAGGCAAGGUCAGAAGUGCAGUGACAGCAGCUGUGACACAUAGUGCUUCUCUGAACACAGCCACUCACAUGGAAACUGGUGAUGAAGGACUGCUUGGAAAGAAACAAGAUCAACACAGACACUGAGAUUUAUAACCACAGCAUCUCAGCUUAUGACACCCAAGAACUAAAGCAAUCUGCAAACAUUCCAAGUCCUGAAACAUUAGUGGACCAGCCUCUGAGUGUAUUUUCAUCUCAUUUUAGAACCAUAUACCAAGCAGCUGAAAAUCUUCACCAGAAAGCAGAUGAAGUCUCAGACUGUCAGAGUAACCAAAAUAGUCUAGACAAGUGCAGAUGUGAAGGUAAACCAGCCAGGGAAGGACUAAAUGGUGACUCUGGAGAGACGGUCCCUGAGGUCAGCCACAGGCAGAAGGAUCUGACAGUCAGCUCAGGCAGUAAAGUCCCUCUGUCUUGUGGUUUAAAGCUAAAAGAUCCCAAAAGAGCCUUUACAGAUAUUCCUAGUUCUGAAGAGUUCACACACAGUAUGCUAGAUGUCAUAUGUCCAGACUGCACAGAUGAGCCUCCAGAGGGAGUGCUGGGUGUGGAAGCAUCUAGUCUGUCUGGUCAUGGUACAAGGCAAGAUACACUGGCAUACCACGAGGCUAUAAGAAGUAUCUCAUUGCUUCAAGGAGAACUGAAUGUUGGAUUUAAAGGUACAGAACUUGUACAGAACUUGCUGCUGCUUCUUCAGUAGACUCUCCUGAAAUACAAAAGUCAUGUGAAGAAAAAGUAUGCAACUCUCUAAAAGACUAUGAAAUGGAAGACUGUCCAGACUCUGCCAUUGAUCAUGAAGUAAAAUCUGUUGUAGAUCAUGAACCAAAUAUAAGAGCACUGGAUAGAGCAGGUGUAUCUUUAAAUUCCAUUCAUUGUGAGCAUCAAGGUAAAGGAGGAUCCAUGAUAGAAGGGCUGAGACUUGAAGCAAAUUCUGAGUUUGGCAAGAAGAAAACCUUUGGAUUAUCCUUAAAAGACUCAGUGUCUCCCGGGUGCCAAGACUCUAUCAAGAUGGUGCACUCUUUUCUGUCUUCUCGGGAACAUUCAACAGCUGGUGUUUAUGAUGAAAUGCCUAACUCAAAACAUCACUUUAAACCCAAAGAUGAUGAAAUGCUUUGUGAAAAUGUCAAGGAUUGCACAGUCCUUUCUGACAUGAAGGCAGGAACACCGAUGGAUUUACAUAACCCUAGUGAAGGAGAGAGCACAUACAUCCGUGUCAACAAAAAGGUUUGCAAAAUUGUCACUCUCAUAAGAAUUCCAUUGAUAAACAUUUGCUUAUGACAAUGGAAACAGCAAUUA